rnacentral:rRNA from 1 species
UUGAACGCUGGCGGCAGGCCUAACACAUGCAAGUCGAACGGUAACAGGAAACAGCUUGCUGUUUCGCUGACGAGUGGCGGACGGGUGAGUAAUGUCUGGGAAACUGCCUGAUGGAGGGGGAUAACUACUGGAAACGGUAGCUAAUACCGCAUAACGUCGCAAGACCAAAGAGGGGGACCUUCGGGCCUCUUGCCAUCGGAUGUGCCCAGAUGGGAUUAGCUAGUAGGUGGGGUAACGGCUCACCUAGGCGACGAUCCCUAGCUGGUCUGAGAGGAUGACCAGCCACACUGGAACUGAGACACGGUCCAGACUCCUACGGGAGGCAGCAGUGGGGAAUAUUGCACAAUGGGCGCAAGCCUGAUGCAGCCAUGCCGCGUGUAUGAAGAAGGCCUUCGGGUUGUAAAGUACUUUCAGCGGGGAGGAAGGGAGUAAAGUUAAUACCUUUGCUCAUUGACGUUACCCGCAGAAGAAGCACCGGCUAACUCCGUGCCAGCAGCCGCGGUAAUACGGAGGGUGCAAGCGUUUAUCGGAAUUACUGGGCGUAAAGCGCACGCAGGCGGUUUGUUAAGUCAGAUGUGAAAUCCCCGGGCUCAACCUGGGAACUGCAUCUGAUACUGGCAAGCUUGAGUCUCGUAGAGGGGGGUAGAAUUCCAGGUGUAGCGGUGAAAUGCGUAGAGAUCUGGAGGAAUACCGGUGGCGAAGGCGGCCCCCUGGACGAAGACUGACGCUCAGGUGCGAAAGCGUGGGGAGCAAACAGGAUUAGAUACCCUGGUAGUCCACGCCGUAAACGAUGUCGACUUGGAGGUUGUGCCCUUGAGGCGUGGCUUCCGGAGCUAACGCGUUAAGUCGACCGCCUGGGGAGUACGGCCGCAAGGUUAAAACUCAAAUGAAUUGACGGGGGCCCGCACAAGCGGUGGAGCAUGUGGUUUAAUUCGAUGCAACGCGAAGAACCUUACCUGGUCUUGACAUCCACGGAAGUUUUCAGAGAUGAGAAUGUGCCUUCGGGAACCGUGAGACAGGUGCUGCAUGGCUGUCGUCAGCUCGUGUUGUGAAAUGUUGGGUUAAGUCCCGCAACGAGCGCAACCCUUAUCCUUUGUUGCCAGCGGUCCGGCCGGGAACUCAAAGGAGACUGCCAGUGAUAAACUGGAGGAAGGUGGGGAUGACGUCAAGUCAUCAUGGCCCUUACGACCAGGGCUACACACGUGCUACAAUGGCGCAUACAAAGAGAAGCGACCUCGCGAGAGCAAGCGGACCUCAUAAAGUGCGUCGUAGUCCGGAUUGGAGUCUGCAACUCGACUCCAUGAAGUCGGAAUCGCUAGUAAUCGUGGAUCAGAAUGCCACGGUGAAUACGUUCCCGGGCCUUGUACACACCGCCCGUCACACCAUGGGAGUGGGUUGCAAAAGAAGUAGGUAGCUUAACCUUCGGGAGGGCGCUUACCACUUUGUGAUUCAUGACUGGGGUG